rnacentral:misc_RNA from 1 species
AGUUCUAACAUGCCAAUAUCUGCAGUUUCGCAAGCAAGGUGAAGCAAGGGACACCCAUCAAGAUCCUCCAAGGUCUCACCUUCACCAGUACCAGCCAAAUUUAAAGAGCUAGUGGAGGACCUGUCCAAUGAAUUCCCUGUUGAGCAGCUAGAGCAGUGAUCAAGGCCUGUCUGCUCUUGUAGUAACAUCACUCUAGCAAGGGUUAGAGAAGAGCUACAAGAUGCUUGCUCAUACACGGCAUUGACAUCUGCUUCAUGAUUAACAAUAAGACGGUACACAGACUUCUUAUCGCUAGCACGAACAGCUUCUGCCAUCUGUUGUGUCACUGAAUGAGGAUAUUGACUGUCUCUAGGCUUGCGAACAAACAGCUUUUCUGCAUACUUUGCAUUGAUAAACUUCUCCUUUACUGAGAUAGACUCAGCUGGACUGGGUUUGCUGAUAAAAUGCAGCUGCGAUUUAUCAGACUUGUACGAGCCUGUGGAGAUGAGAUCAACCUGAAGGGUGCUUCUUGAUUGCAAUAACUCCUCCCAGACUGAGUUUGCAAAGGCAUUUCCUAGAGAUUGAAACAAACUUAUAACAGAAGGUUCCCAUACUUUGACAUCAAGUGUGAGGGACCUCACCUUUGAUAUAUGCACGCCAAGAUUACGGUGAACACCAGAACACUCGAUGCAAACAAGAACACCAAGAUUUAGGGAUGCCCAAUCUGGCUCUGGGGCACCACAAUCAGAACAUUUAUCAUUCCCACAUACUCUUCGCAGCACAUCAAUUGGCUUCUCUGCACUGGAUCGCUGUUGUGAAAUUCUUGAAGGUCGUUCAUGAAGAUGUGCACCAGUAAGGCUCCUCUCAGAUGUAAAUUCAUCACCAGCAGAGUGGUCAAAGUCAGCACUUUCAAAUGAACUGCUCUCACUGGCAGACCGAUGAUGACCACUUCCCAUUGGGAUAGCAGGCAGACACCUCUCAGGAGCCUGAGAGCUGAGUAAUGAAGCAAUAACCCCUGUUAUUUUUUCAAUCCAAUCCAUUUGAUCCAGUGUGCUCUCUGCCUGCAAAGUGUAGUUCUUUGUUGG